rnacentral:rRNA from 1 species
GUAGGGGCCGAACGUUUGUCCGGAUUUAUUGGGCGUAAAGGGCUCGUAGGCGGUUCAACAAGUCGGUCGUGAAAUGCCGGGGCUCAACCCCGGAACGCCGGUCGAAACUGUUGUGACUAGGGUCCGGUAGAGGUGAGCGGAAUUCUCGGUGUAGCGGUGGAAUGCGCAGAUAUCGAGAGGAACACCAGUUGCGAAGGCGGCUCACUGGGCCGGUACCGACGCUAAGGAGCGAAAGCAUGGGGAGCAAACAGGAUUAGAUACCCUGGUAGUCCAUGCUGUAAACGGUGAACACUAGGUGUGGCGGAUCUAUUGAUGUCUGCCGUACCGUAGCUAACGCGUUAAGUGUUCCGCCUGGGGAGUACGGCCGCAAGGCUA